CGAAACUUCAAAAACAAUGAAAUGAAAUUCCAUCGUGGGCAUAAGAUUCGUUUCAAUUACAAAUCGAGAAACGUGACUGGCAUGAGAUGAGGGAAGCGAUUCCAAAGUGGCAGUGGGAAUGGCAGAGCCGCGGAUCCUGGGAUUUGACAUUUGCAUUUCAAUUCCAGUUCCGCGUUUUUCCGCUACUCCAAAUCGCAUGACCCGAGGCGAACGAUUCAGAAACAAAGACAGCGGACCACCAGAGGAAGGACCUCCUCGAAUUUCCGAGCUGUGCUCCGAUUUUUUGCUGCCGCCUUUUUUGCGAACUGUGCCUCGGGGUACCCGUUUGUUGUUUGCUUCGUUCCUUUUUUCGUU
ensembl:ncRNA lncRNA:CR44823 long non-coding RNA:CR44823